rnacentral:rRNA from 1 species
GACGAACGCUGGCGGCGUGCUUAACACAUGCAAGUCGAACGGAAAGGCCCUGCUUUUGUGGGGUGCUCGAGUGGCGAACGGGUGAGUAACACGUGAGUAACCUGCCCUUGACUUUGGGAUAACUUCAGGAAACUGGGGCUAAUACCGGAUAGGAGCUCCUGCUGCAUGGUGGGGGUUGGAAAGUUUCGGCGGUUGGGGAUGGACUCGCGGCUUAUCAGCUUGUUGGUGGGGUAGUGGCUUACCAAGGCUUUGACGGGUAGCCGGCCUGAGAGGGUGACCGGCCACAUGGGGACUGAGAUACGGCCCAGACUCCUACGGGAGGCAGCAGUGGGGAAUAUUGCAAAAUGGGCGGAAGCCUGAUGCAGCAACGCCGCGUGCGGGAUGACGGCCUUCGGGUGGUAAACCGCUUUCGCCUGUGACGAAGCGUGAGUGACGGUAAUGGGGAAAGAAGCACCGGCGAACUACGG